AGCGAACGCUGGCGGCGUACUUAACACAUGCAAGUCGAACGAGGAUCUUCGGUGUAGCAAUACAUUGGCGGUCCUAGUGGCGCACGGGUGAGUAACACGUGGGUGACCUGCCCUUGAGCUCGGGAUACCCCCUCGAAAGGGGGGCUAAUACCGGAUACGUUCCUCGGUCGAAAGACUGAGGAGGAAAGGUGGCGCAAGCUGCCGCUCUUGGAGGGGCUCGCGGCCUAUCAGCUAGUUGGCGGGGUAACGGCCCACCAAGGCUAUGACGGGUAGCUGGUCUGAGAGGACGACCAGCCACACGGGGACUGAGACACGGCCCCGACUCCUACGGGAGGCAGCAGUGGGGACUUUUCCGCAAUGGGCGAAAGCCUGACGGAGUGACGCCGCGUGUGGGACGAAGGCCUUCGGGUCGUAAACCACUGUCAGUGGGAAAGAUGGGUGUCGGGGUUAAUACCUCCGGCAUCUGACGGUACCUGCAGAGGAAGCCCCGGCCAACUCUGUGC
rnacentral:rRNA from 1 species